rnacentral:lncRNA from 1 species
AAACACUCUUUAACCCACAAUCUUUUUUUUUUCUUUAACCCACAAUCUUCAUCUUCUUGGUUGGUGCCCUUUCUUCUUUCAGCUCAUGCCUAAAACUUGCACUUGUGGGGUUCUAUUUGUCCACUCCCUUGUUUCUCUACGUAAUCAACUCAUUUUCCCCCUGAAUAAUAAAAUACCAUCAACUGAAUCCAAACCCCAAUAAAACCCAUUUCAUUUUUAUAGGUUACAAGCUUCAGGGGACCAUACACCUCUUCUUCAUUGCCACCUUCUCCCUCUACGCGAAUCCCCAU